ensembl:miRNA MIR340 microRNA 340
UUGUACCUGGUGUGAUUAUAAAGCAAUGAGACUGAUUGUCAUGUGUGGUUUGUGGGAUCCGUCUCAGUUACUUUAUAGCCAUACCUGGUAUGUUA